rnacentral:rRNA from 1 species
UGGGGAAUAUUGGACAAUGGGCGAAAGCCUGAUCCAGCCAUGCCGCGUGUGUGAAGAAGGUCUUCGGAUUGUAAAGCACUUUAAGUUGGGAGGAAGGGCAUUAACCUAAUACGUUAGUGUUUUGACGUUACCGACAGAAUAAGCACCGGCUAACUCUGUGCCAGCAGCCGCGGUAAUACAGAGGGGGCAAGCGUUAAUCGGAAUUACUGGGCGUAAAGCGCGCGUAGGUGGUUUGUUAAGUUGGAUGUGAAAUCCCCGGGCUCAACCUAGGAACUGCAUUCAAAACUGACUGACUAGAGUAUGGUAGAGGGUGGUGGAAUUUCCUGUGUAGCGGUGAAAUGCGUAGAUAUAGGAAGGAACACCAGUGGCGAAGGCGACCACCUGGACUAAUACUGACACUGAGGUGCGAAAGCGUGGGGAGCAAACA